GACGUAGGGCGCGAGCGUUGUCCGGAUUUAUUGGGCGUAAAGAGCUCGUAGGCGGCUUGUUGCGUCGACUGUGAAAACCCGCGGCUUAACUGCGGGCUUGCAGUUGAUACGGGCAGGCUAGAGUUCGGUAGGGGAGACUGGAAUUCCUGGUGUAGCGGUGAAAUGCGCAGAUAUCAGGAGGAACACCGGUGGAGAAGGCGGGUCUCUGGGCCGAUACUGACGCUGAGGAGCGAAAGCGUGGGGAGCGAACAGG
rnacentral:rRNA from 1 species